GGAAGUGAGGGCUAUCUGGCUGCAACAGCUGUUACUCCAUGAUCACCAGGGUGGAUUUGGCUCAUCUGGCUGGCUGGAUGCGUGUCCUCUACCUACCUCACAGCUCCGUGUGGGUCCCUCCCAAAGCUGCAUGCUUAAUGGAGGAGGAUGACCUUCCCCACAGGAGGACCCGUCUUAGAUCAAGGGUAUAUGAAUAGCUGCACUCCCCUGCUAGAACCUCGAAACAAGCUCUCAAAGAAAAUAGACAUUAUAUACUGUUCUUAUCUACUCAUUUGCUUUAACUUUGAUAAGAAUCAUAGCUGUUGGC
rnacentral:snRNA from 1 species